UUCUAGCUACCUAUUCUUACUUCAGGCCA
rnacentral:piRNA from 1 species